AUAACGGUCCUAAGGUAGCGAAAUUCCUUGUCGGGUAAGUUCCGACCUGCACGAAUGGCGUAACGACUUCCCCGCUGUCUCCAACAUCGACUCAGCGAAAUUGAAUUACCUGUCAAGAUGCAGGUUUCCCGCGGUUAGACGGAAAGACCCCGUGCACCUUUACUACAGCUUCACACUGGCAUCAGGCCAAGCAUGUGCAGGAUAGGUGGUGGGCU
rnacentral:rRNA from 1 species